UUUGUUUCUUUCUUUUCUGUUUUUUUAAACUACGAUCCCGGUGUUUACAUGCGGCAACGGGUUGUUGGUGGUUCCUUGGCACGGCGAAACACACCCUGCAACCCCUUUGCCACCGGCAGGCUCGCAGCUGCGCACGAUACCCGAUCAGUAGCCGGUAUUUUUAUUCGCAGAUUUUAAGGUCACUUGUUGCUUGUUUAGUUAUGUCGGCGUACACACGAUCAGUCAACAUGCGCGCACACACAUGCAUACAGAGAGCGUGUGUGCAGUCGCGUGGCGGUGUGGUCGAGUCCGUGCUACGUAUCGCGACACACGUGGACAAAGCAUCGGCCAGCACCGUGUGCAAGGCGUUCCAUGUAUGCGAUCGUGUGUUGUAUACGUGCCAUCGGACCGAUAGGUGGACGCCCUGUCGAUUUCAUUUCCACCCCUACCACUGACCGUACCGUCGACCAAGCGUCGGGAAGGGAAACGUGGUGGGGAUCGGUUCACUAUUUUUUUUCCGGUUUUUUUUCCUCCUUUUUUACAGACCGUCCGGGUUCCACCGUUGCGGUUUUUUUUGCGCAGCUUUCGCUAGUCGGCCGCCGUGACGUACUUCUCCUCUACUCUGUAACAAAAACAACAACAGGGACAACGUAUCAUCCGCGGCUUUUCUUUGCCUUCGCUUCUUCACCUUCGCGUUUCUUCAUCGGGAUAUCGUUCCGUUUCAGCGGUUUCUGUUUUUACUCUACUAUCCACCGGCACGCUGUUUAAUCAGUUCGUCGCACGAAACGUAUUCCACUCCUGUUUCGUACCAACCUGCGAUUUGAUACAAGUAGAAUCGAUUCUUACACACAAAUCCAAAAUCUUCUGUGCACCGACUGCAAAGGUUGGAUUGCGCGAGGGUUGAAGAUCCCAAUCAAGAUAUGCCACUUGCUUCGGGACUAUGGUAUCUUAGCACGGCGUUAUCAAGAAGGGACUAUCUUUAUUCGCAAUAACCUUCGAAACUCACUCUAUUCACGGACUAGUAGACAUUUGAGCAACAACCAACCGGUUAGUUAAGGAUUUCGUCAGAAUAAAGCUGCAUUGAUGGGAAGAUAAAUUCGUGAAAUCGAAGAUAUUAUAGGUUUCAGAAGGAAAAGUCUGUCGACACCUAACCACGAGGCAUUGCAGGUGUACAGGGGCGACGAUCGGAAGCAUCAGAAACGCGAAAUUCAGGAAUGUUUCGUAGGAAGAGGCGACGUGCAACAGGCGCCUCGGUCGAAGGGCACAUACACUCGGGCUGCCUCAGAAUCUUUGGUAUUUGAUCGGUAUCGAUGAGGACCAAUACGUGCGUGUCCAUGUACACAACAGACGCGGGGGGAACGUGGCGUGGUCAGGCAUGAGCGUGGCUGUGUGCUCGACGAGAAUGUGCCCGUUUUGUAUACGGGUAUCGAGGUCACUAUGCCAGUGGAACACACGUUAAGGGGGUUGUACACCCCUCGAUACGAUCAUACGGAUACGUAAUGGUAAACGACCGAUCGUAUCGUCAAGUUCGAUCGAUCGAUCCCGUUCAGAGCCGUAGCCAACGCUUUAGUAUCUAUAAACGCGUUGCCAGGAUUUACUGUCGCUUCAGGCGCGUGUCCUGUGUACUAAUUAUUGACGGCGAUUGCGUAAGUCGAAUUAUUAAUGUUAAAUCGUCGAGGGUAUACACGCGGAAAUGAUCUGAAGCUUGGCUAAAUCUUAUUUUGUUUUGAUUGUAGAAGAUUGUCAUGCUGAGUUGUUUCGAAAGUCUUCGUGUAUUUUGUUGACUAUAUCUUGGAUUAGUUCCUUAAUCUGUUAAUCGAAUAAGGCGAAUUCACUCGUCAUUCAAUAGUAAUUUUUUUAUUUAAAGAUACCCUAUAUCGUUGCGUAUAAUUUCACUUUUGUUCAUGUUCGUAUUUGCAAGAAUUUGAACUAAUUUACCUGAAAUUGAUUUGUGUUUAUCAUUAAUUUUGAAUCUCAUAGUUAUAGAAAUUAUUGGUUAAAUUAAGCGUGGUGAAAUUAAUUUGUUAAUAUUAUUUUGUAAAUGCGAACCAUCAAUAGAUA